UAUCUGCAGUCGAGCGACAGAAAGGAGCUUGCUCCUUUGACGUUAGCGGCGGACGGGUGAGUAACACGUGGGCAACCUACCCUAUAGUUUGGGAUAACUCCGGGAAACCGGGGCU
rnacentral:rRNA from 1 species